ensembl:lncRNA
CCAAUAUUGACAUUAGUUUGCUACAAAAGUGGCCUGACUGUUACAAAAACUCCUGUUUUCACUUCACAUGAAUGAUUCACCUGUCAGAAAGAGAAAGACAGAGAUUUCUGUCACGACCUUUCCGCUCAAAUCGUUUCAUGCCGGUCAGACUCAUCAAACAUGGCCAAGAUGACGGACUCUACAGAACCCUUGAAGAUCAGACACCAAGACAGGCUUGUCAGUCAGCAGGAAACGCACCUCAUCUAACCCUAGAUACACCUUCCCACAGGAGGGAGGCAGUGAGAGGGACCCCAGGGUGCAGCUGGAGAUUUAUCUCUCCGUUCAUAAAUCCACCGACUGCUUGAUCUCUGACCUCUGGUAUCUGCAGAUGCUGCACCUGUAAGGCAGCAGCACUCGGUUCCGACUGACUGCAUUUGUUAUCUAACAACUUUUGCCUCGCAGGUUAGUGCUGCACUCACCUCACAGCUGUCAGAAACAACCUGACAUCUUUAGGAGAGCUGGGUGGAAGGGAGAAAUGGGGUGAAUCUCAAGGUCAUGUUCGCUUUUCACCCCAAUAAUCUAGAAAAAAAAGUUUAGUUAAGUUCAACGGUUUACUUACAAAAUGUUUAUAAUAUGUACUUCAGCUUAAUUGAAAAUGCUUAUUGUAGUUAUUAUAGUUUCUCAUAUAAAAUAUUAUGUGUUAGCAUUUGUUUAAAACUCAUUCUCAUUACCUUAAUGGGGAAAUAUUUAAAAUGUAUAGACUAAUUUAUGCUGAAUUAAAUUACAAAAUCAUUGUAUUACUGUAUUAUCAUCUUAUUUUAAAAUGUAUAUGUGUGAAUGUGUG